GGACAAACAUGGCUACAAGGGUUCAAAUUUUAAUAUAUAUGCUCCUUUCAGACAACCAAAUGCCAGUGGAAUUAUAUCUAAUGCAUUACAAAAAUAAAAAUAAUUAAAGAUACUUAACACAAUUUAAUUAAAUAACAUAUCGUUAUAACAUUAUCAAACAUUCAAGAGCAUAUAAAAAUGAAUUACAAUAGAAGGAUAAAGCUACUAAUAUUUCCCAGCAUCAUUAUCUUUCAUUCCAACUCGAUUUUAUGAGUUUACAUGGUCCGAAAAUUACCUGGACAACAGAAAGAAGAACAAAUACAACAGAGUCAGCUCUUUCCAAAAUCAACAGCAAAACAAUUAAACGAGCAGCAACAACAGCAAAAAACAACGACAACCAGCAGAUUCAAACCUAAGAAAAUAAACUAGAAAUACCCCAUCAAAACAGUACAAUUAUGUAACUCCAGAAAAAUCUUUCAAGACUACUCUAUUUUUCUUAAACAAGUUUUUCACUUAAGAAUCAACUCACAAAAGUUGCUAAAGGAUAUUAUAGCUACUGAUUUUUUCUCUUUUUUUGUGUGUCGAGCUCUCUCAGUAAGAUGGAGUGUCCUCCUAUAUAUCAAAACAAUCAGCUAUUUCAAAAAAUUAAAAAUCAAUCUUUUUUGACAGUUUUUUCUACAAAUUUGCUCUUAAAUUCAAAAUGCCAGACUUUCUGGUUCAAAUCUUGUCAAGUAUUUCAAACAAAGUCUUCUCUCUACUAUUCAAAGACAGCAUUUUAUUCAAACACUAUCCAAAGGUCUACAUUUUCUUACCAAACAAUUUGACUUUUGAGUGUUAUACUCAAAGAGUCUUGAAGCAGUAAAUAAACAACCAAACAAGUACCAUAUACUCUUAAGUAUUUUUCACUACCUCACUUUUAUCAACACAAAACUAUUUUACUACUUCAACAAGUGCAAAAACAGAAAAUUUAACCUUUCAAACUUCAAAAACUAAUGCUAAAAUAAUUAAUAAUAGACAAAAAUAAAAUCUGAAAAAAUAAAAAUAAAAUAGAAAAAACAGCCACAAAAAAGAAUAGGAUUUUUACCAUUUUAUAAUUCAAGUGGCCGAAAAAAUGGUGGUAUGCCCAAAGAGGGUGUUUGGGGAGGUCGCCGAAAUUUGGUCGCCGGAUUUUUAGGGUAAAAUUAGCAUCAAUAGCUAGGUCUUGGGGAGCUCUAUCCAUUGAUGUAGGUAUUGUGGGGCGGUAGUGGUUGGAGCUUCAAGAAUUUGGGCAAAAAGGUGACGGGAAAGUUUCCUAGAUCUAAGAUUCAAGGAGUUUGAGGGAUUUUUGAAGGAUUUGAUUUGGAGAUAUGGAAAGAGGAAGUUGUGGAGAUUAAAUGGUGUGAAUUUGGAGGUGUUUGGAGGUGGUCCGCUGGAGGCGGCGAUUUCCGGCCGGCGGCGGUGGGCGGAGCUGGGGCGGCGUAGAGAGAGUGAAGAGAGAGAGAAGAGAGAAGAAGGAGAAAAGAAUUAUGGGUGAAAAUGAGGACAAUUUUCAGAUUUUUGAGGCUUUAAAUACCUAAGCCAAGAGUGAAUGAGAUCCAUUGGAUCAAGAUGGAAUGGAUGGGUAUGAUUUGAUCUUGUUUCAUUUAGUGAAACGACGUAGUUUUGAGGCAAAACUACGAAGUUUCAGACCCUUUCAAU
rnacentral:lncRNA from 1 species